UGAGUACGAGAUGCUACGGCAUCGAAGCAGUCUAUGUCAUACUUCCAAGAAAAGCUUGCAAUGUCAUAAACAAAUAAUGCCUGUACCAUAACCGACACAGGUGGGUAGGUAGAGUAUACUAAGGGGCGCGAGAUAACUCUCUCUAAGGAACUCGGCAAAAUGACUCCGUAACUUCGGGAGAAGGAGUGCCUUAUUUUUAUAAGGUUGCAAUAACAAGAUCCAAGCAACUGUUUACCAAAAACACAGGUCUCCGCUAAGUCGUAAGACGAUGUAUGGGGGCUGACGCCUGCCCAGUGCCAGAAGGUUAAAGAAGUUGGUUAGCAUUAGCGAAGCUGAUAACUGAAGCCCUGGUGAACGGCGGCCGUAACAAUAACGGUCCUAAGGUAGCGAAAUUCCUUGUCGGGUAAGUUCCGACCCGCACGAAAGGCGUAAUGAUUUGGAUACUGUCUCGGAGAGGGGCUCGGUGAAAUAGACUUGUCUGUGAAGAUGCGGACUACCUGCACCUGGACAGAAAGACCCUAUGAAGCUUUACUGUAACUUGAGAUUGAAAUUGGACUUUAUCUGCCAGUAUAGGUGGGAGACGUUGAAAAUAUUCUUGCGGGAAUAUUGGAGUCAUCAGUGAGAUACCACUCUUAUAAUGUUAGAUUUCUAACUUUGUAUCAUUAUCUGGUCAAAGAACAGUUUCAGGCGGGCAGUUUGACUGGGGCGGUCGCCUCCCAAACGGUAACGGAGGCGCACAAAGGUUUCCUCUGAACGUGUAGAAAUCGUAUCUAGAGUGUAAAGGCAUAAGGAAGCUUGACUGUGAGACCUACAAGUCGAGCAGGGACGAAAGUCGGUCUUAGUGAUCUGACGGUGCUGAGUGGAAAGGCCGUCACUCAACGGAUAAAAGUUACUCUAGGAUAACAGGCUGAUCUCCCCCAAGAGUUCACAUCGACGGGGAGGUUUGGCACCUCGAUGUCGGCUCAUCGCAUCCUGGGGCGGUAGUACGUCCCAAGGGUUGGGCUGUUCGCCCAUGAAAGCGGUACGCGAGCUGGGUUCAGAACGUCGUGAGACAGUUCGGUCCAUAUCCGGUGUAGGCGUUAGAAUAUUGAGAGGAGCCUUCUUUAGUACGAGAGGACCGAGAAGGACAUACCUCUGGUGUACCAGUUAUCGUGCCAACGGUAAACGCUGGGUAGCCAUGUAUGGAGAGGAUAACCGCUGAAAGCAUCUAAGUGGGAAGCCCACCUCAAGAUAAG
rnacentral:rRNA from 1 species